CGGAGGGUGCAAGCGUUGCUCGGAAUUAUUGGGCGUAAAGGGUAGGUAGGUGGUCUCAUUUGUCUGGGGUGAAAGCCUUGAGCUUAACUCAAGAAGUGCCCCAGAAACGGUGAGACUAGAGUCUUGGAGAGGGUCGUGGAAUUCCCGGUGUAGCGGUGAAAUGCGUAGAGAUCGGGAGGAACACCAGAGGCGAAAGCGGCGACCUGGACAAGAACUGACACUCAACUACGAAAGCGUGGGGAGCAAACAGGAUUAGAUACCCUGGUAGUCCACGCUGUAAACGAUGGGUACUAGGUUUGGUGGGUCUUGACCCCCGCCGAACCGGCGCUAACGCACUAAGUACCCCGCCUGGGAAGUACGGUCGCAAGACUA
rnacentral:rRNA from 1 species